GUUCUUGCUCUGUCAGCACACACACUAAUAUUGGAGCAAUACAGAAAAGAUUAGCAUGGCCCCUGAGCAAGGAUCACAUGCAAGUUCAUGAGGCAUUCCGUAUUAAU
ensembl:snRNA U6 U6 spliceosomal RNA